rnacentral:rRNA from 1 species
GUGCCAGCAGCCGCGGUAAUACAGAGGUGGCAAGCGUUGUUCGGAAUUACUGGGCGUAAAGGGCGCGUAGGCGGUUCGAUAAGUCCCGUGUGAAAGCCCCCGGCUCAACUGGGGAACUGCACGGGAAACUGACGGACUUGAGUUCGGGAGAGGGAAGCGGAAUUCCGGGUGUAGCGGUGAAAUGCGUAGAUAUCCGGAGGAACACCGGUGGCGAAGGCGGCUUCCUGGACCGACACUGACGCUGAGGCGCGAAAGCUAGGGGAGCAAACGGGAUUAGAAACCCCCGUAGUCC